GUUCCUAUAGUUAAAUUUUAAUAACGGUGGUUUUUCAGGCCAUAGAUCUUGGAGAAAGUCCGAGUAGGAAUU
rnacentral:tRNA from 1 species